rnacentral:rRNA from 1 species
AGGAUUUCCCUAGUAGCGGCGAGCGAAGCGGGAAGAGCUCAAAUUUAUAAUCUGGCACCUUCGGUGUCCGAGUUGUAAUCUCUAGAAAUGUUUUCCGCGUUGGACCGCACACAAGUCUGUUGGAAUACAGCGGCAUAGUGGUGAGACCCCCGUAUAUGGUGCGGACGCCCAGCGCUUUGUGAUACAUUUUCGAAGAGUCGAGUUGUUUGGGAAUGCAGCUCAAAUUGGGUGGUAAAUUCCAUCUAAAGCUAAAUAUUGGCGAGAGACCGAUAGCGAACAAGUACCGUGAGGGAAAGAUGAAAAGCACUUUGGAAAGAGAGUUAACAGUACGUGAAAUUGUUGGAAGGGAAACGCUUGAAGUCAGACUUGCUUGCCGAGCAAUCGGUUUGCAGGCCAGCAUCAGUUUUCCGGGAUGGAUAAUGGUAGAGAGAAGGUAGCAGUUUCGGCUGUGUUAUAGCUCUCUGCUGGAUACAUCUUGGGGGACUGAGGAACGCAGUGUGCCUUUGGCGGGGGUUUCGACCUCUUCACACUUAGGAUGCUGGUGGAAUGGCUUUAAACGACCCGUCUUGAAACACGGACCAAA